AGACCCGAAACCCGGUGAUCUAGCCAUGGGCAGGUUGAAGGUUGGGUAACACUAACUGGAGGACCGAACCGACUAAUGUUGAAAAAUUAGCGGAUGACCUGUGGCUGGGGGUGAAAGGCCAAUCAAACCGGGAGAUAGCUGGUUCUCCCCGAAAGCUAUUUAGGUAGCGCCUCGUGAAUUCAUCUCCGGGGGUAGAGCACUGUUUCGGCUAGGGGGCCAUCCCGGCUUACCAACCCGAUGCAAACUGCGAAUACCGGAGAAUGUUAUCACGGGAGACACACGGCGGGUGCUAACGUCCGUCGUGAAGAGGGAAACAACCCAGACCGCCAGCUAAGGUCCCAAAGUCAUGGUUAAGUGGGAAACGAUGUGGGAAGGCCCAGACAGCCAGGAUGUUGGCUUAGAAGCAGCCAUCAUUUAAAGAAAGCGUAAUAGCUCACUGGUCGAGUCGGCCUGCGCGGAAGAUGUAACGGGGCUAAACCAUGCACCGAAGCUGCGGCAGCGACACUGUGUGUUGUUGGGUAGGGGAGCGUUCUGUAAGCCUGUGAAGGUGUGUCGUGAGGCAUGCUGGAGGUAUCAGAAGUGCGAAUGCUGACAUAAGUAACGAUAAAGCGGGUGAAAAGCCCGCUCGCCGGAAGACCAAGGGUUCCUGUCCAACGUUAAUCGGGGCAGGGUGAGUCGACCCCUAAGGCGAGGCCGAAAGGCGUAGUCGAUGGGAAACGGGUUAAUAUUCCCGUACUUGGUGUUACUGCGAAGGGGGGACGGAGAAGGCUAUGUUGGCCGGGCGACGGUUGUCCCGGUUUAAGCGUGUAGGUGUGUGUUCCAGGUAAAUCCGGUUCACUUUAACACUGAGGCGUGACGACGAGGCACUACGGUGCUGAAGCAACAAAUGCCCUGCUUCCAGGAAAAGCCUCUAAGCAUCAGGUAACAUCAAAUCGUACCCCAAACCGACACAGGUGGUCAGGUAGAGAAUACCAAGGCGCUUGAGAGAACUCGGGUGAAGGAACUAGGCAAAAUGGUGCCGUAACUUCGGGAGAAGGCACGCUGACACGUAGGUGAAGUGAUUUACUCAUGGAGCUGAAGUCAGUCGAAGAUACCAGCUGGCUGCAACUGUUUAUUAAAAACACAGCACUGUGCAAACACGAAAGUGGACGUAUACGGUGUGACGCCUGCCCGGUGCCGGAAGGUUAAUUGAUGGGGUCAGCGCAAGCGAAGCUCCUGAUCGAAGCCCCGGUAAACGGCGGCCGUAACUAUAACGGUCCUAAGGUAGCGAAAUUCCUUGUCGGGUAAGUUCCGACCUGCACGAAUGGCGUAAUGAUGGCCAGGCUGUCUCCACCCGAGACUCAGUGAAAUUGAACUCGCUGUGAAGAUGCAGUGUACCCGCGGCAAGACGGAAAGACCCCGUGAACCUUUACUAUAGCUUGACACUGAACAUUGAGCCUUGAUGUGUAGGAUAGGUGGGAGGCUUUGAAGUGUGGACGCCAGUCUGCAUGGAGCCGACCUUGAAAUACCACCCUUUAAUGUUUGAUGUUCUAACGUGGACCCGUUACCCGGGUUGCGGACAGUGUCUGGUGGGUAGUUUGACUGGGGCGGUCUCCUCCUAAAGAGUAACGGAGGAGCACGAAGGUUGGCUAAUCCUGGUCGGACAUCAGGAGGUUAGUGCAAUGGCAUAAGCCAGCUUGACUGCGAGCGUGACGGCGCGAGCAGGUGCGAAAGCAGGUCAUAGUGAUCCGGUGGUUCUGAAUGGAAGGGCCAUCGCUCAACGGAUAAAAGGUACUCCGGGGAUAACAGGCUGAUACCGCCCAAGAGUUCAUAUCGACGGCGGUGUUUGGCACCUCGAUGUCGGCUCAUCACAUCCUGGGGCUGAAGUAGGUCCCAAGGGUAUGGCUGUUCGCCAUUUAAAGUGGUACGCGAGCUGGGUUUAGAACGUCGUGAGACAGUUCGGUCCCUAUCUGCCGUGGGCGCUGGAGAACUGAGGGGGGCUGCUCCUAGUACGAGAGGACCGGAGUGGACGCAUCACUGGUGUUCGGGUUGUCAUGCCAAUGGCACUGCCCGGUAGCUAAAUGCGGAAGAGAUAAGUGCUGAAAGCAUCUAAGCACGAAACUUGCCCCGA
rnacentral:rRNA from 8 species